GGUUGAUCUAAAUUCAGGAAAGAAAUAAUGAAAAGACAAAAGAAGGAGAUUGAAAACUAAUAAUAAUGUAUUAGAAAGUAGACAACAAUUGAAUUUCACCUCUAGUCUGCUGAUACAGUCGUUUUUACAUCUUUUAAACUACCGAGCUGCUAACAACACUGAUCCAUCUAUUUAAAAAAAAACAAAAAAAUAUUCUGCUGCUCUCAUCAAUAACUAAACAUCCCAACAUUGUAUUAGUGAAGCAUUUGUGCAAGAUUUUGGGUUUAAGGAUCGAUUGGAUUUAAAAUGUUGUAAUUUUGACAGUUUUUGGACCAAUAUCAGCACUAAAUAUUGGCUCAUCCCUUUUUAUUUACACCACAUUGAGACUUGUUUUGUUAUUUUUUACAUUUCAGUUGCAGUGGGAAACUUCUGGCAUCCGGGAUUGUAAUCCCAGAUUACCGUUGGAUGCUCUACACGACGCUGGAGCGGGACAAAGAUUAACGGCGGCCGUGGCAAAGCUCAGGAGGCCUGCUUUACUGGAAGAGGUGUGGUAACAUGAAUCCAGUGAGCAAGCGGAAAUAAAGCCAUUCAUUGAUUGGGAAUAAGGGUUUCCUCUUACCAGCUGACUGGACUGCGGCCUUCACGCUGUCCGCCUCAGCAAUCUGCGGGGAAAUAAUGGACAUUGAGCAAAUCAUUUCCACCCAGGAUGUCCACUCAGAUUAAUAAUGUUUGCUAUUUGUGUGACCAUAAAGUCCGUUUGGCAGGAUAUUGGAUGAACAAAUUGUGCUGUGGUCUCACCUGCUCCUGUAGUGGUUUUUCCUCUGUCAACUCUCUUAUGUUCACAGUUUUAUCUGCAAAGAAAAAUAAAAUGCCUGCAAUUAAUAAUCUACCAUAAUCUAUGUGUUUAUAAUGUUAAAUUGUGUGUUGUUUUUAAACAUGUGUAUGUCUUGAAA